GCACAAGCGGUGGAGCAUGUGGUUUAAUUCGAAGCAACGCGCAGAACCUUACCAUCCCUUGACAUGGCAUGUUACCUCGAGAGAUCGGGGAUCCUCUUCGGAGGCGUGCACACAGGUGCUGCAUGGCUGUCGUCAGCUCGUGUCGUGGGAUGUUGGGUUAAGUCCCGCAACGAGCGCAACCCACGUCCUUAGUUGCCAUCAUUCAGUUGGGCACUCUAGGGAGACUGCCGGUGAUAAGCCGCGAGGAAGGUGUGGAUGACGUCAAGUCCUCAUGGCCCUUACGGGAUGGGCUACACACGUGCUACAAUGGCGGUGACAGUGGGACGCGAAACCGCGAGGUUGAGCAAAUCCCCAAAAGCCGUCUCAGUUCGGAUUGCACUCUGCAACUCGGGUGCAUGAAGGCGGAAUCGCUAGUAAUCGUGGAUCAGCACGCCACGGUGAAUACGUUCCCGGGC
rnacentral:rRNA from 1 species